AAACACCAUGCGGAGGAACAGGAGACUAAAGAAGAAAAAAGCAGAAGCAGACACCGUAAUGAAGUCCUUUGUUUCCUCUGCUUUGUGGGCACCUCUGUCGCUUGCAAAACACCUGUCACUAUAGGCAGAGGGCGCUAUCUGCUUCAGACUCCUCUCGUUAGACGUCAG